GUUUUCUGACAUCUGGAGCCACUAGCAGUUAUCCUGUUCAUUCCUGGGCGCCUGCGACCUUCCGAAGGAAACAAGACUUGCUUGGGGAAAGUUGCCUUGCCAGUAUAGUGGAGCUUGGUAGAAACUUAAAAACUGCCUGGGGCUGCCUGGGAUGGGGAUCUCGAGAUGCUUGUGGGGAGCACAUUUUAGGAAACAGGGGGCUCAAGCUGCAUGAAAUGCUGCGGGAAAUAGGAAUGAGAGACGCAGAAUGGUCGGAGAAAAAAGCUAGGAAGGUGUUUGGGAGUAAGAUUUUGGAGUGCCUUGAAUGCCAGACUAGGGAGUUUGGACUAUAUCCUGUAAGAUAGGGGAUAAAAAUCAACUUUAAACAGGAGUGAUAUAACAAGAUAAUGUACUUUAGAAAAUAAUUCUGUAACUGUAGGGGGAGUCCCAAAGUGUUUCUCAAAUUGUGUUCGGGGAAGUUCAAAGUGUGUUUGAGAGCUUGUUUUUAUAUGCAGAUUCUUGCCCCUCACCAGACCUGCAAAUAAAGUUCUCUGGUUGUACAGCCAGGAAACUGCAUUAAAAAAAAACUUUUUAGGUUAACAUACAUUUGGUGAGAAAACGCAUAAACCAUAUGGAUAGGGCUCUGAAUUUUCACAAGCAAACACUUCAGCCAGGCGGGGUGGCCCGUGCCCCUAAUCCCAGCUACUCGG
rnacentral:lncRNA from 1 species